AUGAACGCUGGCGGCGUGCCUAAUACAUGCAAGUCGAGCGAACAGACGAGGAGCUUGCUCCUCUGACGUUAGCGGCGGACGGGUGAGUAACACGUGGAUAACCUACCUAUAAGACUGGGAUAACUUCGGGGAACCGGAGCUAAUACCGGAUAAUAUAUUGAACCGCAUGGUUCAAUAGUGAAAGACGGUUUUGCUGUCACUUAUAGAUGGAUCCGCGCCGCAUUAGCUAGUUGGUAAGGUAACGGCUUACCAAGGCAACGAUGCGUAGCCGACCUGAGAGGGUGGUCGGCCACACUGGAACUGAGACACGGUCCAGACUCCUACGGGAGGCAGCAGUAGGGAAUCUUCCGCAAUGGGCGAAAGCCUGACGGAGCAACGCCGCGUGAGUGAUGAAGGUCUUCGGAUCGUAAAACUCUGUUAUUAGGGAAGAACAAAUGUGUAAGUAACUAUGCACGUCUUGACGGUACCUAAUCAGAAAGCCACGGCUAACUACGUG
rnacentral:rRNA from 1 species